rnacentral:rRNA from 1 species
AGAGUUUGAUCAUGGCUCAGGACGAACGCUGGCGGCGUGCCUAACACAUGCAAGUCGAACGGAACUUUUUUGAAAGAUUCUUUCGGGAUGAUUUUGAUUAAGUUUAGUGGCGGACGGGUGAGUAACGCGUGAGUAACCUGCCUUUGAGAGGGGAAUAACAAUCUGAAAAGAUUGCUAAUACCGCAUAACAUAUAUGAAUCGCAUGGUUUGUAUAUCAAAGAUUUUAUCGCUCAAAGAUGGACUCGCGUCCGAUUAGUUAGUUGGUGAGGUAACGGCUCACCAAGACCACGAUCGGUAGCCGGCACUGAGAGGUUGAACGGCCACAUUGGGACUGAGACACGGCCCAGACUCCUACGGGAGGCAGCAGUGGGGGAUAUUGCGCAAUGGGGGCAACCCUGACGCAGCAACGCCGCGUGAAGGAUGAAGGUUUUCGGAUUGUAAACUUCUUUUAUUAAGGACGAGAAAUGACGGUACUUAAUGAAUAAGCUCCGGCUAACUACGUGCCAGCAGCCGCGGUAAUACGUAGGGAGCAAGCGUUGUCCGGAUUUACUGGGUGUAAAGGGUGCGUAGGCGGCUUUGCAAGUCAGAUGUGAAAUCUAUGGGCUCAACCCAUAAACUGCAUUUGAAACUGUAGAGCUUGAGUGAAGUAGAGGCAGGCGGAAUUCCCCGUGUAGCGGUGAAAUGCGUAGAGAUGGGGAGGAACACCAGUGGCGAAGGCGGCCUGCUGGGCUUUAACUGACGCUGAGGCACGAAAGCGUGGGUAGCAAACAGGAUUAGAUACCCUGGUAGUCCACGCUGUAAACGAUGAUUGCUAGGUGUGGGGGGUCUGACCCCUUCCGUGCCGGAGUUAACACAAUAAGUAAUCCACCUGGGGA